rnacentral:lncRNA from 1 species
UAUUAUAACCGCUCUUUUUAUAUUUUGAAACAAAAAUGUAAACUGUAUAGGCGUAAGACAAUUGUAUUAGUUGACUCGUCUUCAUCACCAGGACCAGCCACGGACAGGAGGACCAGCCAGAGGAGCACCCACAGACAGGAGCAUCUACAGGAGGACCAUCAUAGGACAGGAGGACUAGCGGGAGGAGCACCCACAGACAGGAGCAUCUACAGGAGAAAGAUGCCAAGCCAACAGUUAACAGUUAUCAAAGAAGCAGAUACCAUGCCCUGACAGGAAGGACCUUCCACUCACACUGGAUUGUAACAUCCCCGCUCUGCACAUGACAUCCAGCCAAAUGAGUACAGUGCUAACAUGAUCAAAUUGUGCCAAUAGCACCGUGAAACAAAUUUUCUUCAAUUAGUCAUUCAAGAACUAACAGACAAUUGCCAGGCAUCAAGAAUCCUUUCAACAUGCAGCUCUCUUGAAUAGGCAUGUCAAUUCCUCCAGAUGACUACCAUGGACUACUUUAACAGUUGGCUGUUUUAUUUCUCUCAUGUGAAAUUGUGUUGACGGCAUGGCAUCCUUCAGUCUCAGGAUACUAUGGAUCUGCGCCGUAGGAGAUUUCAGGUUCGAGAGCAGCACUUGCUGUGGCUGAACAGGUCCACACAGAAUUGCAGUCCCUGUAGCCGUGGCUGCACUUGUGAGUGGUGUCUUCCUGCAUUGGUAGCCUCUGGCUGUUCUUUCGGUGAUGACGUUUGUCCUCAGCUGCCUGUCGCAGUCGGGCUUCACCCCUGAUGAGACCAGCUCCCAGUGUCUCUCACCUAAGAGCCCAUAUCAAGCGAUUUCAUAUCUCGCUUGCACACAUCUUUGAAGCGAAGAUGGGGGUGCCCUUGCACUUACUUUGCGGAGGCCAGCUCACCGUACAAUAAAUUGUGUUGAUAGUGCUGUAAAAACCAGCAAAGACUUAAGAAAACAAUAUUCCUUGUGUGAUGUCCAGAUGGAGAUUUUGUAAUGAAGCUACUUAGAAAUAAUGU